GCUAGAAUUAUUCCUCGACAUCAAGGAUCGAUAUCCCAUCAGCACGUACACCUUAGCUAGAAGCCUAGAACCUCCCCAUUUCUCCAUAAAAAUCACAGAAAACCCUAACGCAAGCAGCCUGGUAGGAGGAUGAGCACUGUCCCAUCCAUGACUAUAACAGUCUUCUGCUUAACUAUAUCUCGGCCUGAAACCAAUCUAGAGACAACCCCUGGUUCCAGCCGUAAAGAAAAGCCAACACAAAGCACCAUUGCCUCCCCUGUUCCAGCUGAAAGAAAAGCCAACAUCUUACACUACACCAGCACCCAACACUUUACCAGUAGACCCCAAGCUAUCACCAUUUUUCCCACGACACCUCACAGACCCUCUUCUCACACCCGAAACCAAUUAUCUCCAGUCUCAAGACUGAAACCAACACAAAUUUAACCGUCAGCCAUACAAAGGAAAGAAGCAAAAUAAUUAACCCUCAUCGCCACCAGCCAUCCUCCAGAAUCAACCGAUAGCUUCAAAGACCAGCCAAUAGCAUGACUAAGGCCAACCAUCGUGAGUGGUAGCAUUCCUCUCUGCAUCAUUCGUUGAUUCCACUAUCCUCAGCUCCUCUAUCCGUAUACAGCCAUGGCAGAACUGGUUUUGGCUGAGGAGUCAUGACGGCACCACCAAUAGCGUCUAUGUAUUCUUUUUGUUCACGACAACCACUACAACUAAGCAACGUUCACACCUUCUCCUCCCCCGUUCAUAGUAUCUGCAGCGCAUAAACAGCUACUGCUUCGGCCAAAGAACAAGAACCACAACAUCGACAGCACCUCCUCUAUUAGAAAGGACAGCCACCUUUCCAGCGGCAGCACCGUAGGUUCCUUCCAGCCAUGCCAGUAGUUUCCAGCAACAGUACCAUAAGCUCCUCAAACCAUGAACCACAGCAGCAUCAGAAGCUUUGCUUCUCAUUCCAAGCUGAAAGCAGCAAAUAUUGUCCUCCCACGUUUCCAGUAAAAGGAUCUUGUUGCAAGGAAGAUCAAGUAUUGUUAGCACCAUCAGUAAAUACUCCAGCCCAGGAAUAACCCCCCUCCCUUUCUUGUUACGAUAGUCUUGCAUAUUUUAUUUUAGUUAACAUCUUUUAGUUCGAAACUCAUAAAUGGUGCCAUUUCCAUGCGUUUUGAGAAUGCAUGCUGCUGGGUUUAAAUGAAUGUUGGGUUAAAUAGUAUAGGGGUUUUAAAGUAUUGUUUAGAAACUGGGUACAGAUCUUUUGUCAUUAGCUACGGUUACCUUUUUUUUGUUUGUGGGCAUGGAUUGAUUAUUUUUACUUGAUGGGCUGAUAGUUAAGCCUUGGGUAUCUUGAUUUAUCUGUUUUGCAUGGAUCGGGCUUCAAUUUGAAAUAUUUGAAUAAAUUUAUGGGCUGUUUUGAAUUUUA